CCUAUAAGACUGGGAUAACUUCGGGAAACCGGAGCUAAUACCGGAUAACAUUUGGAACCGCAUGGUUCUAAAGUGAAAGAUGGUUUUGCUAUCACUUAUAGAUGGACCCGCGCCGUAUUAGCUAGUUGGUAAGGUAACGGCUUACCAAGGCGACGAUACGUAGCCGACCUGAGAGGGUGAUCGGCCACACUGGAACUGAGACACGGUCCAGACUCCUACGGGAGGCAGCAGUAGGGAAUCUUCCGCAAUGGGCGAAAGCCUGACGGAGCAACGCCGCGUGAGUGAUGAAGGGUUUCGGCUCGUAAAACUCUGUUAUUAGGGAAGAACAAAUGUGUAAGUAACUGUGCGCAUCUUGACGGUACCUAAUCAGAAAGCCACGGCUAACUACGUGCCAGCAGCCGCGGUAAUACGUAGGUGGCAAGCGUUAUCCGGAAUUAUUGGGCGUAAAGCGCGCGUAGGCGGUUUCUUAAGUCUGAUGUGAAAGCCCACGGCUCAACCGUGGAGGGUCAUUGGAAACUGGGAAACUUGAGUGCAGAAGAGGAAAGUGGAAUUCCAUGUGUAGCGGUGAAAUGCGCAGAGAUAUGGAGGAACACCAGUGGCGAAGGCGACUUUCUGGUCUGUAACUGACGCUGAUGUGCGAAAGCGUGGGGAUCAAACAGGAUUAGAUACCCUGGUAGUCCACGCCGUAAACGAUGAGUGCUAAGUGUUAGGGGGUUUCCGCCCCUUAGUGCUGCAGCUAACGCAUUAAGCACUCCGCCUGGGGAGUACGACCGCAAGGUUGAAACUCAAA
rnacentral:rRNA from 1 species